GACGAACGCUGGCGGCGUGCUUAACACAUGCAAGUCGAACGGAAAGGCCCUGCUUUUGUGGGGUGCUCGAGUGGCGAACGGGUGAGUAACACGUGAGUAACCUGCCCUUGACUUUGGGAUAACUUCAGGAAACUGGGGCUAAUACCGGAUAGGAGCUCCUGCUGCAUGGGGGGGGUUGGAAAGUUUCGGCGGUUGGGGAUGGACUCGCGGCUUAUCAGCUUGUUGGUGGGGUAGUGGCUUACCAAGGCUUUGACGGGUAGCCGGCCUGAGAGGGUGACCGGCCCCAUUGGGACUGAGAUACGGCCCAGACUCCUACGGGGGGCAGCAGUGGGGAAUAUUGCACAAUGGGCGGAAGCCUGAUGCAGCAACGCCGCGUGCGGGAUGACGGCCUUCGGGUUGUAAACCGCUUUCGCCUGUGACGAAGCGUGAGUGACGGUAAUGGGUAAAGAAGCACCGGCUAACUACGU
rnacentral:rRNA from 1 species